GGGGAGAUAGCGAAGUGGCUAAACGCGGCAGACUGUAAAUCUGUUCCCUCCGGGUUCGGCGGUUCGAAUCCGUCUCUCCCCA
rnacentral:tRNA from 1 species